CUGGCUACCAGGGGGUAGGGAUCUCUUCUGGAGAUCUGCUCUGCUGGAGUUUUGUGGGUGAGCCCAGGAUAGGGCUGCUGUUCAAAGCCCCUUUCCUGUACUGGAGCUGUGCAGUUCCCAGGGCUUGCUGGUCUUUGGAGAAAGUGGCCACGUUCAGGAGAACAGCUACCCUGACAACAGCCCAUGCAUGUGGAAUAUAACAGUACUGAAGGAGAAAAUGAUCCUGAUCUACUUCACCAAAUUAGAUGUAGAGUACCAUGUUGGAUGUGACUGUGACUAUGUGUGCCUCUAUUCAAGCAGAAGAGAGCUGAUCAGUAAGGUCUGUGGAGGCAUAUUCCCAGCCCCCUGCUGAUAGUCAGACUGGGCCAACAUUAUGUUUGUUUCUAAUGGGGACGAUGCUAGCUGUGUCCAAGCUCACUAUCACACCUGUCCAUAAGGACUCUGAAGCAGGUUUGGGCUGUGGGAGUGUUGCAAUACUGGUGGAAAAGAGAAAGAUUGAUACUGCUAAUUACCCUGGCUUGUAUCCCAGGAACACGAAGUGCCACUGGCUCAUUGAGGCUCCAGCAGAGUAUGCUGUAAAGGCAAUAAAGGAGAAACUGCACUUAAACCUCUGCACUGAAAGCCAUUCAGGGGAGUGAUUCAAUAAAAUCCUGCCAGAAACAUCUGUGACACGCAAGAACAUAAAUUGUAAGGUUUCUAGGUCGCUGACUUUUUACAGGGCAUAUUUUGUCAAUUAAACACACUCUGAAUCAGUGUGUGGGGCUGCUGUGACUGUUCUAAGUGCUUUAAGUCUGGUGGCACCAAUCUCAUCGCUACAUAGCUUUACCUUGAAAACCAGAGCAUUUGAAGGUAAAGAAGUACAGACCACAUUGUGAACAGCCAGCUUUUUCCUUGUGGCAGUGUUAAUAACCCCCAGCUGUUCCUUAGCCCCAUACCAAGGUGUUUAUUCUUGUGUGUGAGUAGUGGAGUGAUGGUUCCCACACACAGUACCAGCAUCUCUAGUUUUACUGCACAUCUCUGUUAGAGUGUGGCAAGCAUCCAAAUGGCGUUGUUCUGUGCUGUCAUCUUAUGUUGUUUGGAGCAUCUUUUCUCCCCUGCUGCCUUGGUUAAGGGAUGGAAAAACAGUGUUAAACCUAGGGAUGCCCAAGGGUAUGGAAACCUAUUCUUUUGGUUACCACUGCUCUGUUGGCGUAAGAUGUUUUGGUCUGGAUUAAAACAAAAGCACCAAAGCUCUUGAAAAGCUCUUGAAAGAGCAUUCCAUGGGAGAUAUCCUUCUAAAGUAUAAGGCACAGAGUGUCCCAGUAGAGAUAGCAGGAGAAAUCUCUUCAGGUGAGACUUAGGUCGGAUCCAUCCUCUGCAGCUGUCUGUAGCUCCACACAGA